CACACACACAUACUCAUUCUCUGCGCAUGACUUUCACUUUGCUGGAAUAAAAGCCGAAACGCGUAACUUUCUUCAUCUCACUCCCAUCAUAAAAUAAUACCCAGGUCCUCAAUUUCAGAUGCCUAUGGCUAGCCACCCUUGUUCUGAACAACCUAUAUAUCGGAAGCUUUCAUCUUGUGUGGGGAUUGCUGUCUGGUCCAAAGAAAUAUGACACUCACAAACAUGCGCUUCAGAUACAAUCCUGAUUUAUAGAUCCUGAUCUCGUAAUUACGGAUUUGUGUGUUUUUGUUUAGAGUGUCUCUUCGGACCAGGCUUCAUUCCCCUCAACUACUGCUUCCAUAUUUACACAGUGAUGAUGAACAAACUCAUGAUGAUCGAUCUCCUGAUCAAUGGAAGGCAUGUGGAUGGAGAAGGAAGUGAACUUGAAGCAAUAUUGUGGCUUUUACACAUUAUUCUGUCGAAUAGAUUCUAUUUUAUUGCCCUCUUUUUCUCUUUUUAUAAAGGAGGCAUCUUUCUGCUGUCUUUUGAAAAAUCGUUCUUUUCCUUUUCUUUUUAAAUAUAUACACAUUUUAUCUUUCACAAAAUACAAAUAUAUAUGAAGUCUCUGUCAUGUCUUA